rnacentral:rRNA from 1 species
UACGGAGGGGGCUAGAGUUGUUCGGGAUUACUGGGCGUAAAGGGCGCGUAGGCGGCGUCGUAAGUCAGGCGUGAAAGGCCCGGGCUCAACCGGGGAACUGCGCUUGAUACUGCGGCGCUGGAGUCCGGGAGAGGAUGGCGGAAUUCCCAGUGUAGAGGUGAAAUUCGUAGAUAUGGGGAAGAACACCGGUGGCGAAGGCGGCCAUCUGGACCGGUACUGUCGCUAAUGCGCGAAAGCGUGGGGAGCAAAUAGG